UACGUAGGGUGCGAGCGUUGUUCGGAAUUACUGGGCGUAAAGGGCGCGUAGGCGGCACGGCAAGUCAGGAGUGAAAGCCCGGGGCUCAACCCCGGAAUGUCUUUUGAAACUGCCGAGCUAGAGUGCGGAAGAGGCAACUGGAAUUCCCAGUGUAGCGGUGAAAUGCGUAGAUAUUGGGAAGAACACCUGAGGCGAAGGCGGGUUGCUGGGCCGACACUGACGCUGAGGCGCGAAAGCCAGGGGAGCGAACGGG
rnacentral:rRNA from 1 species